rnacentral:rRNA from 1 species
UACGUAGGGACCAAGCGUUGUUCGGAUUUACUGGGCGUAAAGGGCGCGUAGGCGGCGUGACAAGUCACUUGUGAAAUCUCUGGGCUUAACCCAGAACGGCCAAGUGAAACUGUUGUGCUAGAGUGCAGAAGGGGCAAUCGGAAUUCUCGGUGUAGCGGUGAAAUGCGUAGAUAUCGAGAGGAACACCAGAGGUGAAGACGGGUUGCUGGGCUGACACUGACGCUGAGGCGCGAAAGCCAGGAGAGCAAACGGG